GAUGAACGCUGGCGGCGUGCCUAAUACAUGCAAGUCGAGCGAACGGACGAGAAGCUUGUUCUUCUGAUGUUAGCGGCGGACGGGUGAGUAACACGUGGAUAACCUACCUAUAAUACUGGGAUAACUUCGGGAAACCGGAGCUACUACCGGAUAAUAUUUUGAACCGCUUGGUUCAAACGUGAAAGACGGUUUUGCUGUCACUUAUAGAUGGAUCCGUGCUGCAUUAGCUAGUUGGUAAGGUAACGGCGUACCAAGGCAACGAUGCAUAUCCGACCUGCGAGGGGGAUCGGCCACACUGGAACGGAGACACGGGCCAGACUCCUACGGGAGGCAGCAGUAGGGAAUGUUCCGCAAUGGGCGAAAGCCUGACCGAGCAACGCCGCGUGAGUGAUGAAGGUCUUCGGAUCGUAAAGCUCUGUUAUUAGGAAGGAACAUAAGUGUAAGUAUCUGGGCACAUCUUGACGGUACCUAAUCAGAAAGCCACGGCUAACUUCGUG
rnacentral:rRNA from 1 species